GGAGGAGUGAAUAGUUUUUUAGUUUUAUAAAUUUGUUCGAUUACAUAUUUGUCCAUUUAAUUAUUGGUAAUUAAUUAUGAUAGCACUACUAUUUUUAAAAUGUAUGUGUAAUUUGGUGAUCGAUCCACUAAAUCCAUCCCCAAUAAGAAUAGACAAUUCGAACUCAAUAUUCAGAGAAGCUUAUUCUUCGCGAACUCACCCGAUAGCGUUUGGAUUAAAAAAAUUUGAUAAUAAGCGAACAUACGAAAAAGUACAAAGAGAAACUCAGAAAAGAAGACUUGAGUUAUAUGAAAAGUUUAUUGAAAACAACAAAAAUAAUCUCCAUUUAUAAAGAAGGGCCCUUACUUACGAGGGCCAUACAAUUCGGACUUGAAAACGACAAUAGAUAGAUCGAAUAUAUUCAAUAAGAAACUCUGAGAAAGAGAGUUUCAAAAAUACCUGAUACCUCGCCAAUAAAAUUGGGCGGGAUCACUAAUUUUUUUCAAAAAGCGUCUUCCCCUACAUGGACUCUUCAAUCUAGUUUAGAAAAUAGACGACCGAAAGAAGAUCCAGAUUAUAAAGAGAAUACCCGGGAUCAGCCGGUGGUACGUUCGUCUCAACGAAAGAUUCAGAGAAAGAGAGUGAGAAAUUAAAAAAUUUUUUUCACCCUUCAUUUAUGAUAAUUUAUUUUAUAAUACUGGUCAGCUGACACCUGAUGAUUUUUAGGAUUUUUUCCGACAGAUAAAUUAUUAUAAUAAAUGUUUUCUAAAAAAUAUUCCACUUCUAUGUACCAACUCCUUUGCCGACGAAACUCGACGAACCUAUAUCUAUUUUUCGGGAAUCGUGGUCGCAAACUCCCGCGAUAAAUUUUCGGUUUGAAAAAUCAAAUAAAAAAAAAGAGCCAUUCGGCAGCCGAAAUGGAAGUAGAUUUCAUAAUUUAUUACUAAAUGCCUAGCAAUUGAAUAAGAAAAGAUUAUAUAUAUAUUGUGUAACGAUGUACAACAAUUUUUGAAAAUUCCGACAUAGAGUACUAACGAUAUAGUUCGAUUUCUAUAUGAAAUCUACUGAAAAUUAUAAAAAUUAAUUUCAAGCCAAACAAAUUUUUUGAAAAUUCUUGUAAUUU